rfam:Gaeumannomyces graminis var. tritici R3-111a-1 unplaced genomic scaffold supercont2.3, whole genome shotgun sequence.
GACAGCUUGGCCGAGCGGUUAAGGCGGCAGAUUUAAGCUCUUGACACUUGAUCUCUGCUCUCGAAAGAGUCGUGAGUUCGAACCUCACAGCUGUCA